UUAAUGGAGUGACAGCUACAAAGUUUAACGCCAAAAUGUAUUUGAUUUGCCAUUAGACGAAAUGUGCCGUUUCAUGAAGAAAUAUAUUAAAUCAUUUAGGACUGACGUUCUGAGCAAAGGCGCCAGAAGUGCAUGUAUCGCGAAACCGUUUGCAAAUCCUUAAAGCCAGUAACAUCCUUCAGCAUCUGUUGGUAACGCUAUCCACGAUGGGCAAGUCGAAAGAAGCCAAGGGAGUGUCGUGUACCACUUGUAAAGUCCUAUGCACGCCAGUUGAUUCAGAUUUCGAGUGGAUAAAGGCUUGCACGGCCUCACCCCAAUGGCUGACCUUCUGCUACUGGACGAAGACUGAGCACGACGUAACAGCGAACGGUACCAUCACUGUCGGUCCUGAAGGUAAUACGUCCUCCGAGGCAAGUGCAACUAAGAUUGGGGCUGGUGCCUGGCUAUUCAAAUAUUUCCGAAAUUUGGAUGAUGAUAAGUUCUACUGUUCUUUGUGUUACGCAAAGAGGGAUCUACUUCGGGCAAAAUGUGUCUUUCUUGAGUUGGCAGUGAAUGGGCGAGUCGUAUCAACAGACUUCAAACUUGUCAAGAUUGGAACUAUUCAUGAGCCAGAGGAAAAUGCUGAGGCGUCGAAGUAGCUCACUAAGCAAUUAAAUUCGAAAGUGACAAUGGGGAAUGCCUUACUGAGCACCAAAACUUCCAAACAAAUCUGCCAAAAUAUGCCAAGGUUCAGACUUUUUCAUAUAUCUUUCAUAAAAGACAGGUUUUGCAAUCCGUGCGACCGACGAAGUACGAACUGCGAAGUAAGAAGGUUAGUCCAUUCGUAUAAUGUUAUGUCCAGAUCGCAUGGGGCUGUUUAGGGCGAAUUACGAAACCGAACUUCAACGAAAUUCGACCAGUAGUUGGCCCUCCAGAGCCCCAAACGAUGCGGACAUAACACUGGUUUAUGAAUGGACUAUAUCAACAACUCGUUUGUGCGAUACUCGCAAAUCAGCUAUUGGACUUAGUUGUAGGAGGAAUCGGAGAAAUGUUCAAUAGGAAAUCGUCGAUAAGUUCACAGACUUCGCACUUUCUUCCUUGUUAAGCUUUUCGCACGGCUUGCGAAACCUGCCUAAUGACUGAUUAAGUAACUGAUUUUAGAUUUUGAUGACAUAAAUGUAUUGUUUUCUGUAUUUUUCUGGGAAGGUGAAUAAGAAUAUUGAGGAAAUCUUCCCGGAUGUUUUACCUCAACGGAGGAAUAAGCUUAACUAGCAAUAAUUACCCGUGCUCCGCACGGUCUUAAUGUCUUAAUGUUCAUCGAUGUUGUCCAGUGAGGUUCAACCUCACUUUAAGUCCCCCGACUUGACCAUGUUUCAUACUUCCAACAGUCAGUAGUAGUCAGGAGGUUCGCUCAUGUUUGGAGCGAACGCUGUAGUUACUAGUAGAAAAUUUUAUUGGUGACAAUAAAUAAGA